CGCUGGCGGCGUGCCUAAUACAUGCAAGUCGAACGAACUCUGGUAUUGAUUGGUGCUUGCAUCAUGAUUUACAUUUGAGUGAGUGGCGAACUGGUGAGUAACACGUGGGAAACCUGCCCAGAAGCGGGGGAUAACACCUGGAAACAGAUGCUAAUACCGCAUAACAACUUGGACCGCAUGGUCCGAGUUUGAAAGAUGGCUUCGGCUAUCACUUUUGGAUGGUCCCGCGGCGUAUUAGCUAGAUGGUGGGGUAACGGCUCACCAUGGCAAUGAUACGUAGCCGACCUGAGAGGGUAAUCGGCCACAUUGGGACUGAGACACGGCCCAAACUCCUACGGGAGGCAGCAGUAGGGAAUCUUCCACAAUGGACGAAAGUCUGAUGGAGCAACGCCGCGUGAGUGAAGAAGGGUUUCGGCUCGUAAAACUCUGUUGUUAAAGAAGAACAUAUCUGAGAGUAACUGUUCAGGUAUUGACGGUAUUUAACCAGAAAGCCACGGCUAACUACGUGCCA
rnacentral:rRNA from 2 species